GGGGCGCAGCCGGGCAGGCCUGGGCUUUGGGUUGCUGCCUCAGUUUACCUUUUAUAUGAGUAAAAUGAAGGCCUCGUUUUAGGAGUAACCUGCUCUGGUGCCUCCACAGACCAACCUUGAGUGUACUGCCUGCACAGAGUUCUGCGGCCUCAGUUUCCCCACUUAUUAAAAGCAGGAGGAAGAGGCUACCUCCGGACCGGUUUGAGAAUUCCAUGUAUCAAAAGUGAGUCAAAGGCUAGCACACCCCAAGAACCCAGCCCGUUCUCACAAGGAGGGGCAGGGUGUAGGUGCCGAGUCAAUGGUUGUACCCGGCAGGAUAUGGCAGUCAGAGCAACGUGGGCACUCCCAAAAGACCACUCCAGCCUGAGAAGGGCCUUCUCUCCUUGAGACCUUGGAGCCUUCUCAGCAGCGACACAGACAACCUGAGCUACAUAUUGAGGCCCAAGCCUGCCAGGAAUGCAGAACCAGAUUCCCAUGAGUACCUGGAGAGAGCAACAGCCACUCUUCUUCCAGAGGACCCAGGUUCAAUUCCCAGCACCCACAUGGCUGCUGACAAGCAUCUAUAACUCCAGCUCC
rnacentral:sRNA from 1 species